AUUUAUAUAGUUUAAAUAAAACAUUAUAUUUUCAAUAUAAAAAUAAAACUUUAAUUUUUAUAAAUA
rnacentral:tRNA from 1 species